rnacentral:rRNA from 1 species
AGCCUGAGAUGUGAUGAUGACCGCAUUGGCGGGAAGUGGGUGAUCCUAUGCUGUCGAGAAAAGCAUCUAGCGAGGUUCGAGCCGCCCGUACCCUAAACCGACUCAGGUGGUCAGGUAGAGAAUACUAAGGCGAUCGAGUGAAUCGUGGUUAAGGAACUCGGCAAAAUGCCCCCGUAACUUCGGGAGAAGGGGGCCUGAGGCGUGACCUGUCCUUGCGACGGUGAGCGUUUGAGGGCCGCAGAGACCAGGGAGAAGCGACUGUUUACUAAAAACACAGGUCCGUGCGAAGUCGCAAGACGAUGUAUACGGACUGACGCCUGCCCGGUGCUGGAACGUUAAGGGGACCGGUUAGCCUUUCGGGGCGAAGCUGAGAACUUAAGCGCCAGUAAACGGCGGUGGUAACUAUAACCAUCCUAAGGUAGCGAAAUUCCUUGUCGGGUAAGUUCCGACCUGCACGAAUGGCGUAACGACUUCUCCGCUGUCUCAACCGCGAACUCGGCGAAAUUGCACUACGAGUAAAGAUGCUCGUUACGCGCAGCAGGACGGAAAGACCCCGGGACCUUUACUAUAGCUUGGUAUUGGUGUUCGGUACGGCUUGUGUAGGAUAGGUGGGAGACUGUGAAGCUGGCACGCUAGUGUUGGUGGAGUCAAUCUUGAAAUACCACUCUGGUCGUUCUGGAUGUCUAACCUCGGUCCGUGAUCCGGAUCAGGGACAGUGCCUGGUGGGUAGUUUAACUGGGGCGGUUGCCUCCCAAAGAGUAACGGAGGCGCCCAAAGGUUCCCUCAGCCUGGUUGGCAAUCAGGUGUCGAGUGUAAGUGCACAAGGGAGCUUGACUGUGAGACCGACAGGUCGAGCAGGGACGAAAGUCGGGACUAGUGAUCCGGCAGUGGCUUGUGGAAGCGCUGUCGCUCAACGGAUAAAAGGUACCCCGGGGAUAACAGGCUGAUCUUGCCCAAGAGUCCAUAUCGACGGCAUGGUUUGGCACCUCGAUGUCGGCUCGUCGCAUCCUGGGGCUGGAGUAGGUCCCAAGGGUUGGGCUGUUCGCCCAUUAAAGCGGUACGCGAGCUGGGUUUAGAACGUCGUGAGACAGUUCGGUCCCUAUCCGCUGCGCGCGUUGGAAACUUGAGAAGGGCUGUCCCUAGUACGAGAGGACCGGGACGGACGAACCUCUGGUGUGCCAGUUGUCCUGCCAAGGGCACCGCUGGUUAGCUACGUUCGGAAGGGAUAACCGCUGAAGGCAUCUAAGCGGGAAGCUCGCUUCAAGAUGAGGUUUCCAUACAUCCUUGAGGUGUGGGAGGCUCCCAGCUAGACGACUGGUUGAUAGGCCGGAUGUGGAAGCAAGGACUAACGACUUGUGAAGCUGACCGGUACUAAUAUGCCGAUGACUUACAACA